rnacentral:misc_RNA from 1 species
GAAAUGCGAUAAGUAGUGUGAAUUGCAGAAUUCAGUGAAUCAUCGAAUCUUUGAACUCACAUUGCGCCCUUUGGUAUUCCAAAGGGCAUGCCUGUUUGAGCGUCAUUUGUACCCUCAAGCUUUGCUUGGUGUUGGGCGUCUUGUCUCUAGCUUUGCUGGAGACUCGCCUUAAAGUAAUUGGCAGCCGGCCUACUGGUUUCGGAGCGCAGCACAAGUCGCACUCUCUAUCAGCAAAGGUCUAGCAUCCAUUAAGCCUUUUUUCAACUUUUGACCUCGGAUCAGGUAGGGAUACCCGCUGAACUUAAGC